AGCGAACGCUGGCGGCAGGCCUAACACAUGCAAGUCGAACGAACUCUUCGGAGUUAGUGGCGGACGGGUGAGUAACACGUGGGAACGUGCCUUUUGGUUCGGAAUAACUCAGGGAAACUUGUGCUAAUACCGAAUGUGCCCUUCGGGGGAAAGAUUUAUCGCCAUUAGAGCGGCCCGCGUCUGAUUAGCUAGUUGGUGAGGUAACGGCUCACCAAGGCGACGAUCAGUAGCUGGUCUGAGAGGAUGACCAGCCACACUGGGACUGAGACACGGCCCAGACUCCUACGGGAGGCAGCAGGGGGGAAUCUUGCGCAAUGGGCGAAAGCCUGACGCAGCCAUGCCGCGUGAAUGAUGAAGGUCUUAGGAUUGUAAAAUUCUUUCACCGGGGACGAUAAUGACGGUACCCGGAGAAGAAGCCCCGGCUAACUUCGU
rnacentral:rRNA from 1 species